UCUCCUGUCUUCGGUCUAGUACUAACUUGUGGGUUUCAUUUCAUUUUCAUGGGAUCCCCUCCAAUUGGGAACCAGUGGAUUCCUGUCCUUGAGGUCUCUGUGGACAGCGACUAGAUGCUGCUUUUGUCCCAAAUCCUGACACCUCUCUCCAGGGAAUUGCCUCCCUUAGCCUCCUGAAUCAGCCAGUAUUUAGAUUUGAGCCUGGGAUCCCAGCCUCUGUGGAAACCAUGGAUUCCCCAUUCCAGGGCAGCUCUCUCACAGUGAACAGUGACUCAGCCUGCGGCCUUUGUCUCAGCUCGACAGCCCUAGAGAGGGGGGAGUGCAGAUGGGUCCAGCAGCCAAAAUGGGGUGAGUCACACAAGCUGUCUCAAGCCCUUGGCACGAACACUGCACACUGCACAGCAAGGCAGACACUCCUCUUGGAGUCCCCGCCCAAGUCAGGUCAUCCACCUCCUCUUUUAAGGACCCUUCAUUACAGCGAUUCUUUUACUAGAAACACAAGGUGAUAGCACAUAGAUUUCAGUGCCCUCAUUCGGUCAACCAUCUGCAGCUGCCAAUGCCCAAGGCAGCCUCCCUCCCUACCAAGACCUGAACUCAGGAUCUUACCUCAAAGAGAAGAUGUCCUGUCAUUUUUUUCCCAUCAGAACUGUGUGGCCCAGACCCUAUCUCUGUCUGGUGACCAGGACAGUCCCCUCACCUGUCUCCCAGGUUGGGGAGUGCAGAUUCUCCUAAGCUCCCUGUAAGUACCUAACAGUCUCGUGUGGCUCCAGCUCACACAGGAAUAUCCACGGCCCAUAUUUCCAAAAACUCUUUUCCUCCCACUCUGAAUCCAUCCUCUACUGCAUGCUCCCCUCACAGAGCAGACACUGUUUUCUUCACAUCCUCGGUUUGCCUGCCCAUGCCCCAGACUGACCUUUCUUUUGUAGAACUGCCUCUCCCUCUUUGGACAGUGUCUUUCUGCUACUGCACAUGAAGAUGUCCCGCCCUCCCCUGCUCACGGAGAGAGUGCCUGAUCUGAGCUGGGCCAUCCUAUCCAGUACUUACCUGGAAUAGAAGACAGGCAGGGUGGCCAAAGACUACAUGAAUCUCUGAAGCUCAUCCACUUGAGAGAGAGACCCAGAAAAUACUGGUCCUUCAUUCCUGCUGUGUAUAUCCAAUGUGACUGAGCUCUGAAUAAAAUGUACAAGUUAUAAUAAUGUAGUAAUUGACUCAGCAAACCAGGACACGAACAUGUUAGAGGGCGAGGUGUUGAGAGGCGUGUUUGGGGGUGGUGGCAAUGAGCGAGUAUGUGAAGGAGAGAUGGGGCCUAAACUCAGAAAGCAAAGACUAAUAAUAACUAUUUAGAGAUAGGGAGCUGAAUAAUUAUGUACACAUGGGGCCUGCUGUUUUACUAAACAAAUUUUGAAGUAUACAUAACUCUGAUGAAGUAUCCUAAAUAAAAAACAUUUUGCCAUA